ACCUGGGUGGCUCAGUCAGUUAAGCGUCUGACUUCAGCUCAGGUCAUGAUUUUGCAGCUCGUGGGUUCCAGCCCCACGUCAGGCU
rfam:Felis catus isolate Cinnamon breed Abyssinian chromosome A2, whole genome shotgun sequence.